rnacentral:rRNA from 1 species
GUGAAGCGGCAACAGCUCAAAUUUGAAAUCUGGCUCUUUCAGGGUCCGAGUUGUAAUUUGCAGAGGGCGCUUUGGCUUUGGCAGCGGUCCAAGUUCCCUGGAACAGGACGUCACAGAGGGUGAGAAUCCCGUACGUGGUCGCUGGCUAUUGCCGUGUAAAGCCCCUUCGACGAGUCGAGUUGUUUGGGAAUGCAGCUCUAAAUGGGAGGUACAUUUCUUCUAAAGCUAAAUACUGGCCAGAGACCGAUAGCGCACAAGUAGAGUGAUCGAAAGAUGAAAAGCACUUUGGAAAGAGAGUCAAACAGCACGUGAAAUUGUUGAAAGGGAAGCGCUUGCAGCCAGACUUGCUUGCAGUUGCUCAUCCGGGCUCUUGCCCGGUGCACUCUUCUGCAGGCAGGCCAGCAUCAGUUUGGGCGGUGGGAUAAAGGCCUCUGACACGUUCCAUCCUUCGGGUUGGCCAUAUAGGGGAGGCGACAUACCACCAGCCUGGACUGAGGUCCGCGCAUUUAUGCUAGGAUGCUGGCGUAAUGGCUGUAAGCGGCCCGUCUUGAAACACGGACCAAGGAGUCUAACGUCUAUGCGAGUGUUUGGGUGUCAAGCCCAAGCGCGUAAUGAAAGUGAACGCAGGUGGGAACCCGUAAGGGUGCACCAUUGACCGAUCCUGACGUUUUCAGAAGGAUUUGAGUAAGAGCAUGGCUGUUGGGACCCGAAAGAUGGUGAACUAUGCUUGAAUAGGGUGAAGCCAGAGGAAACUCUGGUGGAGGCUCGCAGCGGUUCUGACGUGCAAAUCGAUCGUCAAAUUUGGGCAUAGGGGCGAAAGACUAAUCGAACUAUCUAGUAGCUGGUUCCUGCCGAAGUUUCCCUCAGGAUAGCAGUAACGUAUUCAGUUUUAUGAGGUAAAGCGAAUGAUUAGAGGCCUGGGGGUUGAAACAACCUUCACCUAUUCUCAAACUUUAAAUAUGUAAGAAGUCCUUGUUACUUAGUUGAACGUGGACGAUUGAAUGAAACGUUAUUAGUGGGCCAUUUUUGGUAAGCAGAACUGGCGAUGCGGGAUGAACCGAACGAGGGGUUAAGAGGCCGGAAUGUACGCUCAUCAGACACCACAAAAGGUGUUGGUUCAUCUAGACAGCAGGACGGUGGCCAUGGAAGUCGGAACCCGCUAAGGAGUGUGUAACAACUCACCUGCCGAAUGAACUAGCCCUGAAAAUGGAUGGCGCUCAAGCGUACUCUCUAUACCCCUCCGCCGGGGCAAAAUUUACGCCCCGGCGAGUAGGCAGGCG